rnacentral:rRNA from 1 species
UACAGAGGUCCCAAGCGUUGUUCGGAUUCAUUGGGCGUAAAGGGUGCGUAGGCGGUGGGGUAAGUUGGAUGUGAAAUCUUGGGGCUUAACCUCAAAAUUGCAUUCAAUACUGCUCCGCUCGAGUUCUGUAGAGGAGAUUGGAAUUUACGGUGUAGCAGUGAAAUGCGUAGAUAUCGUAAGGAACGCCAGUGGCGAAAGCGAAAUCUCUGGGCAGCAACUGACGCUGAGGCACGAAGGCCAGGGGAGCAAACGGG